UCCCUGGUGGUCUAGUGGCUAAGACUCCACACUUUCAAUGUAGGAGACUGGGUUUCCAUCCCUGGUCAGGGAA
rnacentral:tRNA from 1 species